rnacentral:rRNA from 1 species
GAUGAACGCUAGCGACAGGCUUAACACAUGCAAGUCGAGGGGCAGCAUAAAAGUAGCAAUACCUUGGUGGCGACCGGCGCACGGGUGAGUAACGCGUAUGCAACCUACCUAUCAGAGGGGAAUAACCCGGCGAAAGUCGGACUAAUACCGCAUAAAACAGGGGCACCGCAUGGUGAUAUUUGUUAAAGAAAUUCGCUGAUAGAUGGGCAUGCGUUCCAUUAGGUAGUUGGUGGGGUAACGGCUCACCAAGCCGACGAUGGAUAGGGGAACUGAGAGGUUGGUCCCCCACACGGGUACUGAGACACGGACCAGACUCCUACGGGAGGCAGCAGUGAGGAAUAUUGAUCAAUGGGCGAGAGCCUGAACCAGCCCAGUCGCGUGAAGGAAGAAGGAUCUAUGGUUCGUAAACUUCUUUUGCAGGGGAAUAAAGUGCAGGACGUGUCCUGUUUUGUAUGUACCCUGAGAAUAAGGAUCGGCUAACUCCGUGCCAGCAGCCGCCGUAA